AACGCUAGCUACAGGCUUAACACAUGCAAGUCGAGGGGAAACGACAUCGAAAGCUUGCUUUUGGUGGGCGUCGACCGGCGCACGGGUGAGUAACGCGUAUCCAACCUGCCCACCACUUGGGGAUAACCUUGCGAAAGUAAGACUAAUACCCAAUGAUAUCCCACGAAGGCAUCCGAAUGGGAUUAAAGAUUUAUCGGUGAUGGAUGGGGAUGCGUCUGAUUAGCUUGUUGGCGGGGUAACGGCCCACCAAGGCAACGAUCAGUAGGGGUUCUGAGAGGAAGGUCCCCCACAUUGGAACUGAGACACGGUCCAAACUCCUACGGGAGGCAGCAGUGAGGAAUAUUGGUCAAUGGGCGAGAGCCUGAACCAGCCAAGUAGCGUGCAGGACGACGGCCCUAUGGGUUGUAAACUGCUUUUAUAAGGGAAUAAAGUGAGUCUCGUGAGACUUUUUGCAUGUACCUUAUGAAUAAGGACCGGCUAAUUCCGUGCCAGCAGCCGCGGUAAUACGGAAGGUCCGGGCGUUAUCCGGAUUUAUUGGGUUUAAAGGGAGCGUAGGCCGGAGAUUAAGCGUGUUGUGAAAUGUAGACGCUCAACGUCUGCACUGCAGCGCGAACUGGUUUCCUUGAGUACGCAUAAAGUGGGCGGAAUUCGUGGUGUAGCGGUGAAAUGCUUAGAUAUCACGAAGAACUCCGAUUG
rnacentral:rRNA from 1 species